UUUGUACAAUAACGUAAAUUUAAAAAACAAUUUGUAUAGUAGCUUAAGUUUGAAAAGUGAUUCACAUAGCGACACAAGUUUAAAAAGUGGAAAAGUAACUACAACAGAAGAACAUGUCUUUACUUCUAAUGCUCAUACAACAAACAAUAACAACCAUGAUCAUGCAUUUUACCAAUCACUAUUUGGCAAUGAAACAGAACCAAAUAUGGAUGAUAUAAACUCUUUCUUUUACUCCGAAAUGAACAACUCCUUUUAUAGAUAUUUUAAAGAUAAAAUAGAUGUAAAUAAUAUAAGAAAACAUUAUAACUUAAAACAUGACAAUACUAUAUUUAAGUUACAUAAAGAAUAUAUAAAAACAUGUUUAAACAAAUUUAAAUUAUUUUUUCGUGAAUACUUUUAUAUUAAUUUUACAAACGAUUUAGAAUUGAAAAAAAAGAAAAAGUAUAUGUAUAAAAAUUUUUGUGUAGCUAUAUGUGAUAUUUUUUUUUACAAUUUAGGAAUUACAAAAGGAGAUGGAGAUGAGAAAUUUGAACAAACAUUAGGUGGUAUAGUAAUAUAUGAUUUAUACAUAAAACAGUUUACAAAAUUAAGAAUAUUAUUAAAAAAAAUGUUUAUGUAUAUAAAUAUUAUAUACAAAAUAAUUAAAUUAGUUAACAUGAAAAAAAUAUUUAAUGAACGAUAUGACUUACAUACAUGUAAAAUGCAUGACGUAUUUUUUUUUAAUUUCUUAUAUUUUUUUUAUCAUAAAUAUUCUAAUAAGUGUCAAAAAGGUAAUGGAUAUAUGACCUCCUUAUGUAAACAAAUGUUUAUAAAUAAAAAAGACUUGUUAGGUAAUUUGAAACAAAAACUUGUUACUCUUGAAAAUAAAGAUUUACAAUUUUUGGAACUGUAUGAAAAAAUGUUUAAAGUAACAAAUAAACAACAACAAAAAGUUUUUCAAAAUGUUUUUAAAAAUACAAAUAAUCCAUUGGAACCGUCGAAUAAUAUCGAUAUUGCAAUUGCUAUGGAACUUGAAUAUGAGAAAAAAAAAAUACAAAAAGAACAGAAACGGGAUGAAGAAUCAGAAUCAACAUCAGAAUCAGCAUCAGAAUCAGAAGAGUUAUUGAGAGAUGUUGCAGAAGAAGCUCUUAGAAAACUUGCUGAAAGGAUAUUAAGAGAAGUUGCAUUGAUGGUUGCAAAUGUGGCUAAAGAGGUGGCAAUGGAACAGGCUAAGCAUUCAAAAGUGGCAUCAAGAGAACAGGUUAAACAGUCAAAGGAGGUGACAUCAAAGGAAGUGGCAUCAAAGGAAG
ensembl:lncRNA